CCCAGCAAGUUUAAAUACAAUUUAAGGAUAUAUCAUGAUUGAAAGAGUCUGAAUAAUAGGCUGGCUAUAAUUCAUCAAUAUAAUUGAGAACUAGCACGAACAAACUUUUGACUGAACAAGUAUUGAACAUGAACAAAUAUAUCUGGACCAACUGGUAAUGAAGGUGAUCAGCCUUUCAUACCUGACUUAUACAUGCAAUAUGUAUAGAGUACAAUUCCACAUGGCAAUCAGCAAUGAUUAACCAUAAGCAUAUCUGAAUAAAAC
rnacentral:lncRNA from 1 species